CUUGGUCAUUUAGAGGAAGUAAAAGUCGUAACAAGGUUUCCGUAGGUGAACCUGCGGAAGGAUCAUUACAAGUGAGGCUACCGAACGUUGGAAACAGCGGUUAGGAGCUUACACCUACCCGUGUUUACAUACUAUUGUUGCUUUGGCGGGCCGUGGCCUCCACUGCGGGCUCUGCUCGUGUGUGCCCGCCAGAGAACCAAACUCUGAAUGUCAGUGAUGUCUGAGUACUAUCUAAUAGUUAAAACUUUCAACAACGGAUCUCUUGGUUCUGGCAUCGAUGAAGAACGCAGCGAAAUGCGAUAAGUAAUGUGAAUUGCAGAAUUCAGUGAAUCAUCGAAUCUUUGAACGCACAUUGCGCCCUGUGGUAUUCCGCAGGGCAUGCCUGUUCGAGCGUCAUUUAACCACUCACGCCUAGCGUGGUAUUGGGGCACGCGGUCUCCGCGGCCCUCAAAAUCAGUGGCGGCGCCGGUGGGCUCUAAGCGUAGUACAUACUCCCGCUAUAGAGUUCCCCCCGGUGGCUCGCCAGAACCCCCAAUUUUUUACAGGUUGACCUCGGAUCAGGUAGGGAUACCCGCUGAACUUAAGCAUAUCAAUAAGCGGAGGA
rnacentral:rRNA from 1 species